ACGCCCAUCAAGCGCGACGUGCCGCUUUGCGCAGACAAAUGCCCAGUAGAAUCCCGCUUUGCUUGGAAGGUCACGCCCCCUAAGGGGAGGGCCGCGCGAGUUUUCACCAGGCUCGCCGCAGACAUUUGCCAAGUGCGGGGUCGCCCCGCCCCGGAGGAGGGGCCACCCUAUGCCCCGCCCCCCGCCGGCCGGGCUCCCCUGCGCUCUCCCAAGGCUGGGACUUAGGCCGCCUGGUUUCCCGGCGGACUUCGCGGCAUGCGCGCUGUGUGACCUUGGGCCAGCGUGCGCGCUCUGGGGUCUCUGUUUCCACGGGUAAAAUGGGAUGGUGUGGUGCUCUGGCCCUGCCAUCUGGAACCUACUGGAAUCCAUGACCUCUCCGACUUGAGUCCCUUGCGCGCCCUCCCCGCCCCAUCUGUGGGGACUCCCAGAGAGAGAGCAAGCUAGUGGGGGAGAGGAGCAGAGAGGAAGAGAGAGAAGAAAUCUUAAGCAGGCUCCACACCCAGCAUGGGGCUUGAAGGGGAGCUUGACGAUGGGCAGGUCAACCGGGAGAUCCAUCCCAUGACCCUGAGACCAUGACCUGCACCGAAAUCAAGAGGGGGCCGCUCAACCGACAGAACCAGCCAGGUACCCCGAUAAAGAGAUUAUUUUCAAAGUUUAUUUAUUUAUUUAUUUGAGAGAGACAGGGACAGCACAGCUGGGAAAGGAAGAGAUGAUGUUUCAAUGAGCAGAAGACACGGCAAGUGCAAAGACUAGAGGCCAGGUGGAGCAGGAGAAGGUAGUGUAGGUUUUAUUCCUACCACAAUGGGAAACUGCAUACCAGGCAGAGUCCCAAUAGGAUAGAGCAGACCCAUUCAAUAGGGUUUAAUGAAAAGGGUUCAGCAAAGGGGCGAUUUACCCCGGUGUGUGGGCAUGGGGAGGAUGGUGUUGUAAGGAAAUCAAUGGGCUGGUGCAGUCCCUGGGCUGGCAAUAGUGGGGAGCCACUAACCCCGAAACCUGAAGUAAGGAGGAGGGGGGGCGGUUUCCUAGAAGCAACAGGAGACUCAGUGAUGGGGUGAGGGGCCCCCCGGUGAAAAGCUGUGGCUAGAGAGACACAGUCACUGCCGAAACUGGGAGUAAGUCAGGGAAAUACCCCAACUUUUCUCUCCUCCCACCCUCUGAUGCCCGUCGGUGCCUCCCAUUGGCCGAAACCAACUGGGAGCCAAAGACCAAGGAUGCCCAGGUGAUGGCAUCCAGGGGGAUCAGCUUUGUUGGGGGUACACAGAGCGGGUGAAAACUGUGGCCAAUGGAUCUGGGAGGUGGGGGCUAAGUGGAGAAUAACCAGAGGUGUUCUAGAUGACCUUGAAGAUCUCUCCAGCCCUCUCUGAGCCAACUCUGUAACAGAAAUGGAUUGGACUCAAAAACUUCCCCUCUUGCUAA